rnacentral:rRNA from 1 species
GACGAACGCUGGCGGCGUGCCUAAUACAUGCAAGUCGAGCGGGGAUUAUGCUUGAUCGCUUCGGUGAGACGGCAUAUAUCCUAGCGGCGGACGGGUGAGUAACGCGUGGGUAAUCUACCUCGUAGUUCGGGAUAACAGGCCGAAAGGCUUGCUAAUACCGGAUGAGUUCAUGCUUAUGCAUAUAGGCAUGAAGAAAGGGCUAGCCCGCUAUGAGAUGAGCCCGCGUCCCAUUAGCUUGUUGGUGGGGUAAUGGCCUACCAAGGCAACGAUGGGUAGCCGGCCUGAGAGGGUGUACGGCCACACUGGGACUGAGACACGGCCCAGACUCCUACGGGAGGCAGCAGCUAAGAAUAUUCCGCAAUGGACGAAAGUCUGACGGAGCGACGCCGCGUGGAUGAAGAAGGCCGAAAGGUUGUAAAGCCCUGUCUAGGGGGACGAUAAUGACGGUACCCCUAGAGGAAGCCCCGGCUAACUACGUGCCAGCAGCCGCGGU